UGCCGUUUUGAGAUCUGGGUCGUCGAUAGGGCCGGCGACCAACAUUGCUUCAUGGUUGCGAUGACAAGCAUUGGCUGAAUGUUGAUAGUGAUAAGUUCCCUGUCGAAAGGACCACAUCUGAUUGACGCUGUACUCGCAAGGAAAAAAAAAGAAAAAUUGGUUAUUGUCAUCCCAAAAACCCAAACCAUGACAAUCCUAGCCACAAGAAUUAAAAUCUAACUCUGGCUUGAGCUGAAGGAACUUUUCCAUAGAGAAUGUGUACAUUCUAUUUGAUACACAAUGGCAACAGAGUAAUGCCUGCCACAACUACGAUAGUUCCAUAUUUGAAUCUUGUCUGGUUUUUUUCCUUCUAUGUUAAGCCUCCGUCUAUGCUUGUCGCCUUCCAUCUGUGGUAAACACAUCCAACUUAUCAGCGAUAUGGAGAGGCUCGAAAGAAACCAACUCCAUCACAGGAAACAAGUAAAUAAAUUGAGGAUAAUCACCUACAAAGUACAACUCUGUUACUGAUCAAAACCAAAUGAAUCAUCAAAAUAAGAAAAAAAAGGUAUGGAAAUGGAUAAGCUUCGGAACAAGGAAGACCAAGACAACAGGCAACUAGCGACUAUAUCUGCCUCUGCCUCUGGAUGAGGCACUGCUACUUGUUAUUAAGGAUUUGUUUUUAUGUUGCACGGCCAUGGUUCAUGAGAACUGCUGUAUAUCAUAUUUAAGCCAUAUGUAGGAACUACUGACAUGCUAAGUUCCACUUGACUUGCGAAAUCUGAGCCUAAAGAAACUAGUGUUUUUGGCCAAUGCAUUUCAAUAUAUCUUGUGUGAGUGGUUUCAUCUCGUGGAAAUGAAGUUUUGCUGUAUGAUUAUGUUUAUAUUGAAUCAUAUGUAAUCCAAAUCUAUUUUAUCCAACUAAAAGUGGUUGCAUUCCUUGCGUGAUACAUAUAAUUUCAUUUUUAUCUCUUUCUACUGUGGCAACUUUUCAAGUGCUAUAUUUAUCUUAUUCUUAUCCAUAUAUAUAUAUAAUACAAUUCACGUGUCAGUCAUAUCACUUACAUUGCUUUAAGCGCUACACAUUCUGCACUUCAUUUUCAGUCUUUUGGCAAGACCUAGAGCAACAUCUUAUGUAAAACGUGC